rnacentral:tRNA from 1 species
GCAUCAGUGGUUCAGUGGUAGAAUUCAUGCUUGCCAUCGCCUCUCAUCUUCCGAGAUGACUUGGGGUAGCAACACUGCAUGAGACCCGCGUUCGAUUCGCGGCUGAUGCA